UGCAAUGCAAAUGGAUCAGUGGGGUUCAGCGUCCCGUAACAAGGAACAGAUAGCUGAUGUAUAGAUGGUACUCAUAGCUGGUGGGUGUUUUGCUUGGGCAGCACAACCGAUUUAUUAGCACGAAGAGGCCCAGCAAGAGACAAGAAAAGAAUCUAUAUAUAUUCGAGUUUAUGAGGAUAUGAGGAUAGGAUUGAUCUACUCAGGGCUGCUAUUGUUGGGCCUGCUGAAAUUUUAUAUCAUGAUGAAAGUUCAUUACCGUUCAGGUGGAGUUCGGAUAAAUACAAACCUCUACGAGAGUGGAAAACUUUGCCUGAACACUUGGUUGGGUUCUGGAUCUGAGAAA